CAGCAGUGGGGAAUAUUGCACAAUGGGCGCAAGCCUGAUGCAGCCAUGCCGCGUGUAUGAAGAAGGCCUUCGGGUUGUAAAGUACUUUCAGCAGUGAGGAAGGUGGGUAUGUUAAUAGCAUACUCAUUUGACGUUAGCUGCAGAAGAAGCACCGGCUAACUCCGUGCCAGCAGCCGCGGUAAUACGGAGGGUGCGAGCGUUAAUCGGAAUUACUGGGCGUAAAGCGCAUGCAGGUGGUUUGUUAAGUCAGAUGUGAAAGCCCCGGGGCUCAACCUCGGAAUUGCAUUUGAAACUGGCAAACUAGAGUACUGUAGAGGGGGUAGAAUUUCAGGUGUAGCGGUGAAAAUGCGUAGAGAUCUGAAGGAAUACCCGGUGGCGAAGGCGGCCCCCUGGACAGAUACUGACACUCAGAUGCGAAAGCGUGGGGAGCAAACAGGAUUAGAUACCCUGGUAG
rnacentral:rRNA from 1 species